rnacentral:rRNA from 1 species
UACGUAGGGGGCAAGCGUUGUCCGGAUUUAUUGGGCGUAAAGAGCGUGUAGGCGGUUCGGUAGGUCCGUUGUGAAAACUCGAGGCUCAACCUCGAGACGCCGAUGGAAACCCUCGAACUAGAGUCCGGAAGAGGAGAGUGGAAUUCCUGGUGUAGCGGUGAAAUGCGCAGAUAUCAGGAAGAACACCCGUGGCUAAGGCGGCGCUCUAGUACGGUACUGACGCUGAGACGCGAAAGCGUGGGGAGCGAACAGG